UACGUAGGCAGCGAGCGUUGUUCGGAGUUACUGGGCGUAAAGAGUGCGUAGGCGGUUUUCUAAGUUUGGUGUGAAAUCUCCCGGCUUAACUGGGAGGGUGCGCCGAAAACUGGAAGGCUUGAGUAUGGGAGAGGUAAGCGGAAUUCCUGGUGUAGCGGUGAAAUGCGUAGAUAUCUGGAGGAACACCGGUGGCGAAGGCGGCGUCCUGGACCAAUACUGACACUGAGGAGCGAAAGCCAGGGGAGCAAACGGG
rnacentral:rRNA from 1 species